AUUUUGGGAGGAGGUCUUAUUCUCCAUGGAUGCUGUCCUUAGUCAGGCCUGGUGCUGUCUUCUGGGGCUCUGCCUCCUCUACACCCCAUCUUAUACCAACCUUUGAGAUCUCCAAAAGAUAUUACGGGCACAUAGGUUAUGCCUUCAUAUCGUGCCUUCUGAGGUUCAGCUUCUCCAGACAAAUUCCAAUCUCCCAUCCCCAACAUCCAGGACUAUGAUGUGGGUAUGUCAUU